CAGGUAUUCUUUAACAUCUGUUCCUAUUUUUAUUUGAGUGAAUUUAUUAUUUAUCUACACGAAGUAUAUUACUCAAUUGAAUGGGUUCUGACUCUGAUAACAUGAGAAGAAAUAAACCUUGAGCCUAACUGAUACAAGAUCGACAAGGAACACACAAACAACACCAAAAUCAGUCCACAACUUGAAAGAACCGUGAACCCUUUUGAUGACCACUCUUGGAUUCAACAAAAAACAAUGUAUUGUGGUGUUUAACACCUAAAAACAGCCCACAACAAACUAUGUUAACAAUAUCAAGAUGAAGAACAAGAACAACACACGGGUUACAGGAGAAACAAUACACCACAUGGCUACAAGAUUACAACAAAGGAAAUGAUAGAGAGUGACAUACACUACUACAAAGACCAAGAACCUAAGUGUAUUCAAGCACAAAGACCCUUGAUAAAGAUGGUAGAAACACCUACACUAUGCGGUGGACACAAGAGAGGACCUCAAUCCGUCUAGCACCCAACGAUCCAAGCAAACAAACAACAAAAGUGAUUCCACACCUAAGUUGUUUCCUAGUUUCAACCAAGUCUUUAUGGUAGAGAGAACUUGUGUUUUUCUAGUGUGUUAUACAAUCUUCAAUAUCAAAAAACUAAGUAAAGUAACCCUAAAAUGUUUCUUAUAUAGUGUAUUACAAAGAGAAGGCAAAAAGUCCAAAAUGCCCCUUAGAGAUUAGGUGCCCCUCUAGUGUGAAUUAGUGGCUGUUUUGAUAAUUUUUAAGUCCUUAAUUCCACUUCUCUUGCACACACACUUGCACACACACAUGGAAGAAUUCAAUACACAUCCUCAUAAGUUCAUCUACGUGAUCGCACUUGUAUCAUCCUCUCCAUCUUGAGAGGAAUUUGUCCACAAAUUCAAGCAAUCAUCACCCGCAAGCUCUGCUCUUUGAAUCAUCUUUUCAAUGUUCCUCCCAAGGUUAGGAUGUUCAACCAAGGGUUCCAUGAGGUUAUCAAGCUUGCUACUUGGACUUAAAUGUUCUUUAACCUACACAUAAGAAGAAAGGAUGCUAUGCAAAGUGCUAGCAUCUUGGUUAGUAGGAAACAAAGGAUCUUUGUGGGCAAACCCACAAUCCUAACUCUCAGCUUCUUUUCUUCACCCUCCUCACUCUCGGCUUUUUCUUCCACAAUCUCACUAAGCAUGAUUCUCCUUGCCAUAUACAUAGGCACAAUACACUCUCCAUCCACCGGCCAAAUAUCUUCCCCACCUUCAUCAAUUUCCACCUCGGCCUCAAGCUCUCCAUCUUGAGCUUUUUCAUCACCCUCAUUCGAUUCAAGUCCUACCUCCUCACCAAGGUAAUACAAUUUUCCCUCCCUAAGGAUUACAUUCCUCUGGGCUCUGGUUUGGGCACUCACUAGCCUUGUGCUCCCACCCUUGACAUUUAAAACAUUGAAAUCCCUUAGGACGAGAAGUAGAAUUUGGUUUACCUUUGUUUCUUGGAGGAUACUUUUGGCAAGCAUUGGUUUCGGUUUGUACAACCUUGUUCUCUGUUUGGUUGGCAUUGGAUGAAUGCUCUUGAUGUUGGUGCCACUCCGAGAAAGGUCCUUGGUGAUUCUUGGGUUGGAGGCCGAGAGCUCCCUUUCAAUUUCCAAGGCCGCUUGGAAAAUGCCAUCGAUCGUGUCAAAUUUGUGGAGGGUCAUCCGAGAAGCUGUGUCCCUAUUCAACUCGACUUUGAAUCGUAUAAUAUCAUGGCUCACUUGUUCUCCUCUAUGGUCAAGCUUCAACAUCAAUUGUUGAAACUCGUCAUAGCAUGCCAUGACACUUUUGUUUCCUUGCCUCAAGUUGUACAACUUGGCAAGAAGUUCUUGUUUGUAGCCCUCGGGUAAGUACCUUUGACGCAUAAGGUACCUCAAUCUAAAUUAUGGAGGUGGCCACCCGGCAAUCAACACAUCACCAAACCUCUUCACAUACUCCCACCAAGUGUUUGCAUACCCCUCAAAGUGAGCGAUUGCAUAACAACUCUUCUCCUCUUCGGUUAGAUCAUUCACUUGGAAUAUCCUAUCACAAGAUGACUCCUAAGCAAGAUANNNNNNNNNNNNNNNNNNNNNNNNNNNNNNNNNNNNGGAAGACUAACUUUGAUGGAAUUGAGGCUAAGCUCUCAUGUUUGGUUACCACCCCUCACUUCUCGGCCUAAAUAACCUUGCUUACCCCUCUCCUCUUCUUCCCUCAAGUAAGCAUCACCAUAACCCCCAUAACUCCAUGUUGUUCCUCCCUACCAUAACCCUCAAAAUGGUUUGGUGGAUUUGGAUUAAGUGGAUUCGGAUUUGGAGGAUAGUAAGGCCUUUGGUUCAAUGGAGUUUGGAUUGGAAAGUGAGGUCUUUGGAUAAGUGGAGGGUUUGGGUUUGGUGGCAUUUGGGUUCCAAAUCCGUCAUGUUGGACUAGGUGAAGUGGAGGGAGGGUUGCUCUAUCAUACUCACGGUUUUGGGAAACAUUUGGUGGUUGGCUCGGUGACUUGUUCAUUUGGUGCAAGGCCUUGGGAGUAAUGGUUUGCAAGGUCUUGGGAGUACUAGUUGGGGAAUUGUUUUGAGGGGUGAAAGGUCAACUCCUUUGGCUUUCUACACGCUCUAAUCUCCCACUCAUUGAUGCCACAUCCGUAUCUAAUUUCUCAAGACCCACAUUCAACCUAGCCACAUCUCGGGACAUAGUUUCAAGGCGAGCCAAAAUGAGAUUGAUGGCAUUAUUGUCCAUUGUUUGAGCAUUUGAAGCCUCGGGUUCCAUUGUGAUUGUACCGAAAAUAACCCUUCAAAUUUUUUCAAACUCAAGCUCAACAAUAGUGGAUGACUCAAAUUACCUCCAAUUUAGCUCAAAUUUGAACCCUAUACUUCUAUAGUGUUACAGAAAAAAUCUAACACUAAAAACACAAGGAAAACACAAAAUCAAAAACUCAAAAUUUGACAUAGGGUCAAAAAUGGGUUUGGGAUUUCUGAUUUUGACACUUCUUUUUUGUAGGAAUUUUCAUUUUUUUUUUUGGAUUUUCAAGAUAACAAUCCCAAGAUUGAUUUUGUUGGAACAAAAUCAAACCUUGCUUUGAUAUCAAAUGAUACAAGAUCGACAAGGAACACACAAACAACACCAAAAUCAGUCCACAAGUUGAAAGAACCAUGAACUCUUUUGAUGACCACUCUCAGAUUCAACAAAAAACAAUGUAUUGUGGUGUUUAACACCUAAAAACAGCCCACAACAAACUAUGUUAACAAUAUCAAGAUGAAGAACAAGAACAACACACGGGUUACAAGAGAAACAAUACACCACACGGCUACAAGAUCAAAACAAAGGAAAUGAUAGAGAGUGUGACAUACACUACUACAAAGACCAAGAACCUAAGUGUAUUCAAGCACAAAGACCCUUGAUAAAGAUAGUAGAAACACCUACACUAUUCGGUGGACACAAGAGAGGACCUCAAUCCGUCUAGCACCCAACAAUCCAAGCAAACAAACAACAAAAGUGAUUCCACACCUAAGCUGUUUCCUAGUUUCAGCCAAGUCUUUAUGGUGGAGAGAACCUGUAUUUUUCUAGUGUGUUAUACAAUCUUCAAUAUCAAAAAACUAAGUAAAGUAACCCUAAAAUGUUUCUUAUAUAGUGUAUUACAAAGAGAAGGCAAAAAGUCCAAAAUGCUCCUUAGAGAUUAGUUGCCCCUCUAGUGUGAAUUUGUGACUUUUUUGAUAUGUUUUAAGCCCUUAAUUCCACUUCUCUUGCACACACACGUGGACGAAUUCAAUAUACAUCCUCAUAAGUUCAUCUACGUGAUCGCACUUGUAUCACUAACCCCAAACUUUAGCUCAUGAGGUGAGAAACAUAGACCCCAUUUGAUAUGGUAACCUGGCCUGUAUGCCAAACCUUUUAUAUCCCAUACGUACAAUGACCUGGUGUUGGGAAAUAAGGAGAACGAGUGAGGGUCUUCAUUCUGAAAGACAGGUUUGUCAGUUCGUAGUUGAUCUGACUAGCUUGUUUUUGAUCUGACUAGCUUGUUUCUCAUUGGAACCUUUCAUAUUCAUUUGAUUUUGUGCAGCUAAGCACAAAAUUUUGUGCUAUUUCCAAGUUCCUAUCUUUUGUGA
rnacentral:lncRNA from 1 species